rnacentral:hammerhead_ribozyme from 1 species
GCACUGCCGAGGAGUCCCACAAUGGGACGAAACGGCUGUUCAGUGC